rnacentral:rRNA from 1 species
UACGUAGGCAGCGAGCGUUGUUCGGAGUUACUGGGCGUAAAGGGUGCGUAGGCGGUUGUUUUAAGUUUGGUGUGAAAUCUCCCGGCUCAACUGGGAGGGUGCGCCGAAUACUGAAUGACUAGAGUGCGGGAGAGGAGAGUGGAAUUCCUGGUGUAGCGGUGAAAUGCGUAGAUAUCAGGAGGAACACCUGUGGCGAAAGCGGCUCACUGGACCACAACUGACGCUGAGGCGCGAAAGCUAGGGGAGCAAACAGG